CCGCCUCUUAAUUAGAGGACCGCAUGAAAGGAACCACGACUCAUCAACUUCUAUGAAUUACACCACGAACUUUGCUUAAAAGUAAAAAGACUUUUAUAAUAUAGAAAGACAACAAGACCCUGACGAACUUUCCUUUAUUUAGCUGGGGAAGCUAAUUAACAAAAACUUAAACCUCAUCAAAAUACAGACCCGAUCCUAUCGAAUAAAAAACAAGUUACCGCAGGGAUAACAGCAUCAUUGGGCCCUAGAGACCUUAUCCAAAGCCCUAUAUGUGACCUCGAUGUUGAAUUAAUAACGCUACAUUUAGCAAAAGAAAUGCAAGUAGGUCUGUUCGACCUUUAAUAUAUUACAUGAUUUGAGUUCAGACCGGCGCAAGCCAGGUCAGUUUAUAUCUUCUUCCCCCAGAGUGCUAGUACGAAAGGACCCCACAACUAAUUAUA
rnacentral:rRNA from 1 species